UGGUGGAGUGAUUUGUCUGGUUUAUUCCGUUAACGAACGAGACCUCGACCUGCUAAAUAGUACUGCUUAUUGCUCGCAAUAAUGCAGAGACUUCUUAGAGGGACUAUCGGUGGUUAGCCGGUGGAAGUUCGAGGCAAUAACA
rnacentral:rRNA from 1 species